rnacentral:rRNA from 1 species
AGUCGAGCGAGCGGAACUAACAGAUUUACUUCGGUAAUGACGUUAGGAAAGCGAGCGGCGGAUGGGUGAGUAACACGUGGGGAACCUGCCCCAUAGUCUGGGAUACCACUUGGAAACAGGUGCUAAUACCGGAUAAGAAAGCAGAUCGCAUGAUCAGCUUUUAAAAGGCGGCGUAAGCUGUCGCUAUGGGAUGGCCCCGCGGUGCAUUAGCUAGUUGGUAAGGUAAAGGCUUACCAAGGCGAUGAUGCAUAGCCGAGUUGAGAGACUGAUCGGCCACAUUGGGACUGAGACACGGCCCAAACUCCUACGGGAGGCAGCAGUAGGGAAUCUUCCACAAUGGACGCAAGUCUGAUGGAGCAACGCCGCGUGAGUGAAGAAGGUUUUCGGAUCGUAAAGCUCUGUUGUUGGUGAAGAAGGAUAGAGGUAGUAACUGGCCUUUAUUUGACGGUAAUCAACCAGAAAGUCACGGCUAACUACGUGCCAGCAGCCGCGGUAAUACGUAGGUGGCAAGCGUUGUCCGGAUUUAUUGGGCGUAAAGCGAGCGCAGGCGGAAGAAUAAGUCUGAUGUGAAAGCCCUCGGCUUAACCGAGGAACUGCAUCGGAAACUGUUUUUCUUGAGUGCAGAAGAGGAGAGUGGAACUCCAUGUGUAGCGGUGGAAUGCGUAGAUAUAUGGAAGAACACCAGUGGCGAAGGCGGCUCUCUGGUCUGCAACUGACGCUGAGGCUCGAAAGCAUGGGUAGUGAACAGGAUUAGAUACCCUGGUAGUCCAUGCCGUANACGAUGAGUGCUAAGUGUUGGGAGGUUUCCGCCUCUCAGUGCUGCAGCUAACGCAUUAAGCACUCCGCCUGGGGAGUACG